rnacentral:rRNA from 1 species
GAGUUUGAUCAUGGCUCAGAUUGAACGCUGGCGGCAUGCCUUACACAUGCAAGUCGAACGGCAGCACGGGAGCUUGCUCCUGGUGGCGAGUGGCGAACGGGUGAGUAAUGCAUCGGACCGUAUCCUGGAGUGGGGGAUAACGUAGCGAAAGUUACGCUAAUACCGCAUAUUCUGUGAGCAGGAAAGCGGGGGACCUUCGGGCCUCGCGCUCUUGGAGCGGCCGAUGUCGGAUUAGCUAGUUGGUGAGGUAAAGGCUCACCAAGGCGACGAUCCGUAGCAGGUCUGAGAGGAUGAUCUGCCACACUGGAACUGAGACACGGUCCAGACUCCUACGGGAGGCAGCAGUGGGGAAUUUUGGACAAUGGGGGCAACCCCGAUCCAGCCAUGCCGCGUGAGUGAAGAAGGCC